rnacentral:rRNA from 1 species
GAUGAACGCUGGCGGCGUGCCUAAUACAUGCAAGUCGAGCGAACAGACGAGGAGCUUGCUCCUCUGACGUUAGCGGCGGACGGGUGAAUAACACGUGGAUAACCUACCUAUAAGACUGGGAUAACUUCGGGAAACCGGAGCUAAUACCGGAUAAUAUAUUGAACCGCAUGGUUCAAUAGUGAAAGACGGUUUUGCUGUCACUGAUAUAUGGAUCCUCGCCGCAUUAGCUAGUUGGUAAGGUAACGGCUUACCAAGGCAACGAUGCGUAGCCGACCUGAGAGGGUGAUCGGCCACCACGGCACUGGGACACGGUCCAGACUCCUACGGGAGGCAGCAGUAGGGAAUCGUCCGCAAUGGGCGAAAGCCUGACGGAGCAACGCCGCGUGAGUGAUGAAGGUCUUCGGAUCGUAAAACUCUGUUAUUAGGGAAGAACAAAUGUGUAAGUAACUAUGCACGUCUUGACGGUACCUAAUCAGAAAGCCACGGCUAACUACGUG